GAUGAACGCUGGCGGCGUGCCUAACACAUGCAAGUCGAGCGAACAGACGAGGAGCUUGUUGCUCUGACUUUAGGGGCGGAGGGGUGAGUAAUAAGAGGAUAACCUCCCUCUACGACCGGCUUGACUACGGCAUACCGGAGCUAAUACUAGUUAAUAUUUUGAACCGGAUGGUUCAUUAGUGAGAGACGGAUGUUCUGUCGGUGAUAGAUGGGUCGGCGUCGCAUUAGCUAGUUGGUGAGGUAACGGCUUACCAAGGCGACGAUGCGUAGCCGACCUGAGAGGGUGGUCGGCCACACCACAACUGAGACGCGGCCCAGACCACUACGGGAGGCGGCAGUAGGGAGUCUUCCGCAAUUGGCGGAAGCCUGAUGGUGCAACGCCGCGUGGGGGGUGAAGGUCUUCUGAUCUUAGAGCUCUGCUAUUAGGAAAGAAGAAGUGUGUAAGUAUCUAUGGACGUCUUGACGGUACCUUAUCAAAAAGCCACGGCUAACUACGUG
rnacentral:rRNA from 1 species